AGACCUGUGCUCUUCUGAUCUUUUGACUGGGGCAGUACACCUGUCAAACCGUAACGCAGGUGUCCUAAGGCGAGCUCAGGGAGGACAGAAA